AAAGGGAUCCUACCGGGAAGCAGCAGUAGGGAAUAUUGGGCAAUGGCCGAGAGGCUGACCCAGCCAUGCCGCGUGCAGGAAGAAGGCCUUCUGGGUUGUAAACUGCUUUUACCAGGGAAGAAAACGCUCUUGCGAGAGUAACUGACGGUACCUGGUGAAUAAGCACCGGCUAACUCCGUGCCAGCAGCCGCGGUAAUACGGAGGGUGCAAGCGUUGUCCGGAUUUAUUGGGUUUAAAGGGUGCGUAGGCGGCCCGUUAAGUCAGCGGUGAAAUCCCAGGGCUCAACCCUGGAACUGCCGUUGAUACUGGCGGGCUUGAGUUCGGUCGAGGCGGGCGGAACUGGUGGUGUAGCGGUGAAAUGCAUAGAUACCACCAAGAACCCCGAUUGCGAAGGCAGCUCGCUGGGCCGAAACUGACGCUGAGGCACGAAAGCGUGGGGAGCGAACAGGAUUAGAUACCCUGGUAGGCCACGCCGUAAACGAUGAUUACUCGAUGUUUGCGAUACACGGCAAGCGUCCAAGCGAAAGCGUUAAGUAAUCCACCUGGGGAGUACGCCCGCAAGGUUGAAACUCAAAAAAAUUGACGGAUUU
rnacentral:rRNA from 1 species